UACGGGGGGGGCAAGCGUUGUUCGGAAUUACUGGGCGUAAAGGGCUCGUAGGCGGCCCACUAAGUCAGACGUGAAAUCCCCAGGCUUAACCUGGGAACUGCGUCUGAUACUGGAUGGCUUGAAUUCGGGAGAGGGAUGCAGAAUUCCAGGUGUAGCGGUGAAAUGCGUAGAUAUCUGGAGGAAUACCGGUGGCGAAGGCGGCAUCCUGGACCGACAUUGACGCUGAGGAGCGAAAGCUAGGGGAGCAAACGGG
rnacentral:rRNA from 1 species